UUUAUUUUUCGAAUUGUAACUAAGACCCGAAACUAGAUUCACAAGUCGUAAUUUAGCCACUCUGGACGUAAAUUAGACUCUGGUAACCCUAUUGCUAGCCACUCUAGGCGUAGGCUUGGUCGUACGAAUCGUAGCUCAGUCUACGGCUAAAUUCGUGAAAUAAAUUAAACUUCACAACUAACUUAAGACUAGCAAAGUUAAUUGACGUAAUAAGUUAGAGAUACAAAAAUUGUCGGGAAUAGGACUUAGAACCUAAGAUUCUAGAUUUCAUUCCCUAAUGUGUAGUUGAGCUCUGGCCGAAGCGACAGAGUAACUUUCGGACCCGUAUCAAGGCCAAAGCGACAAGAUGGN
rnacentral:lncRNA from 1 species